rnacentral:rRNA from 1 species
AGUGAACGCUGGCGGUAGGCCUAACACAUGCAAGUCGAACGGCAGCACAGUAAGAGCUUGCUCUUACGGGUGGCGAGUGGCGGACGGGUGAGGAAUACAUCGGAAUCUACUUUUUCGUGGGGGAUAACGUAGGGAAACUAACGCUAAUACCGCAUACGACCUACGGGUGAAAGCAGGGGAUCUUCGGACCUUGCGCGAUUGAAUGAGCCGAUGUCGGAUUAGCUAGUUGGCGGGGUAAAGGCCCACUAAGGCAACGAUCCGUAGCUGGUCUGAGAGGAUGAUCAGCCACACUGGAACUGAGACACGGUCCAGACUCCUACGGGAGGCAGCAGUGGGGAAUAUUGGACAAUGGGCGCAAGCCUGAUCCAGCCAUACCGCGUGGGUGAAGAAGGCCUUCGGGUUGUAAAGCCCUUUUGUUGGGAAAGAAAAGCAGCAGGUUAAUACCCCGCUGUUCUGACGGUACCCAAAGAAUAAGCACCGGCUAACUUCGUG